AGCGAACGCUGGCGGCAGGCUUAACACAUGCAAGUCGAGCGGGCGUAGCAAUACUGCAGCGGCAGACGGGUGAGUAACGCGUGGGAACGUAUCUUUUGGUUCGGAACAACACAGGGAAACGUGUGCUAAUACCGGAUAAUCCCUCACGGGGCCAGAGUUAUCGCCGAAAGAUCGGCCCGCGUCUGAUUAGCUAGUUGAUGCGGUAACGGCUCACCAAGGCGACGAUCAGUAGGUGGUCUGAGAGGAUGAUCAGCCACAUUGGGACUGAGACACGGCCCAAACUCCUACGGGAGGCAGGAGUGGCGAAUACUGGACAAUGGCGGCAACGCUGAUCGAGCCAGGCCGCGUGAGUGAUGAAGGCUGUAGGGUUGUAAAGUUCUUUUGUGCGUGAAUAUAAUGACGGUACCGCAAGAAUAAGCCCCGGCUAACUUCGUG
rnacentral:rRNA from 1 species